CCGGAAGUGUUACCAAAAAUGGGAACCGAUCGUGACAGUGCCGGCAGGUUGAUUACCCACAAGACACCACUGGGUGUCCAGAAGAGGAACACCCUGGAAUUUAAAAGCAGGCAGAAGGUGAACUACAGGGACUGUAACAGGGCAGACUAACAGUGGAUGAAAUGUGGGCAGACAGGCCUGGAGGAUAAGCAUCUGUAAGAAUGAAGGUGGAAACAAGAGAUGGAGGUCCCACUGAUGGAGUGCCAGAGCUUCAGUACAUCAGAUGAAUGGCUGCAGAGUCAAGUCCUGUAUUUGGCUCCUCCAGAUCUGAUGGCAUGGAGUGCUAUAGAGACAGCAACAAAGAAGACUCCAUUGAACGUAAGCCACCAGUGCAACAAUGGCCAGAGCCAAGCCUGUUCCCAGCACUGCAGCCCAUGUUCCAUUCUUUUUUCUCCCUUUUGAAUCUGAAUCCAAACCAUCACUGGAUUCACUGGAG